rnacentral:misc_RNA from 1 species
AAGUCGUAACAAGGUUUCCGUAGGUGAACCUGCGGAAGGAUCAUUAAUUAGACGCGAAUAGUCGGGCCCGACCACCACCCCUUCUGGGGGGGGCAUUCUGGCGAGGCCCGGCGUCCUUUUGAUUAUAUCCCAUCUGUGAACUCUUCCACUGUUGCUUCCGUGAGCCUGUACUCUGCUCUCGUUGGGAGUUAGAGCACCUGAAAAGCCCUGGUUCUGCCAGGGGCGCACGGCAAUGGUACCACAACUCUGGUUUUAUGUUGUAUAAGUCUGAGUGGUUAACACACAAACAAGUUAAAACUUUCAACAACGGAUCUCUUGGUUCUC